AUUGAACGCUGGCGGCAGGCCUAACACAUGCAAGUCGAACGCCCCUUCGGGGGAGUGGCGGACGGGUGAGUAACGCGUGGGAACGUGCCCUUUGGUACGGAACAACUGAGGGAAACUUCAGCUAAUACCGUAUGUGCCCUACGGGGGAAAGAUUUAUCGCCAUUGGAGCGGCCCGCGUUGGAUUAGCUAGUUGGUGGGGUAAAGGCCCACCAAGGCUACGAUCCAUAGCUGGUCUGAGAGGAUGAUCAGCCACACUGGGACUGAGACACGGCCCAGACUCCUACGGGAGGCAGCAGUGGGGAAUCUUGCGCAAUGGGCGAAAGCCUGACGCAGCCAUGCCGCGUGAAUGAUGAAGGUCUUAGGAUUGUAAAAUUCUUUCACCGGGGAAGAUAAUGACGGUACCCGGAGAAGAAGCCCCGGCUAACUUCGUGCCAGCCGCCGCCGUAAGAC
rnacentral:rRNA from 1 species